rnacentral:lncRNA from 1 species
UGACAGCAAGAAUCCAGAUCCAACAAACUCUAGGAAAGACAUAGUCCAAAUUGUGUUGCUUGACCUUGUCAAUGUGUUCAUACAGUCCAGUAUCAGCCACUCACAUCCAGACACAUAACUAUACUAAUUUAUAAUCAAUAAACCAACAACAACAAGGAUAUCUUGUAAUAUUCUCUAUGUGAGUUUCUAACGCAGAAAUAUCAAUAAAUCCAACAG